CCACACACGGAAAAAGCAAGAAACAAAAGAGAAAAAUCAAAGCAAGAAACAAAAGAGAAAAAUCAAAGCAAAAAACAGAGGGGGGAAACGGAAGAUUGAAAAAAAGAAGAAGAAAGAAACAUGCACACUUGAAAAACAAAAGAGUGAAAAAGAAGGGGAAAACAGUAGGAAGAAAGAGGAAGAAAAAAUAAAACAUAAGAAGAAGAGUUUGAGUUUGAAGUUCCGGUCGAGUUUUCGGUGACGUCUAUCGUUCUUCUCUUUUAGUUAAUUCAUUAUUCAGGUUUUUAUCCCAUUCUACACUAUUUAUUUUAUAAGUUUCGUCGUGAGCAAAAGCAUGAAUAAAGUUAUUUUCAAUGAUUUCUUACGUUAUCUAGCGUGUAUAUUUCAUCACUUGUAUGUAGUUCGGGCUCUAUAUUUUUAAAAUAUAAUUCGUUUGUUGGUUCGAAAUAAUAUUCAUUAAAAUGAUUUUGAGUUUUGCGUAAGAUUAUUUUAGAGUUGUUAACAUUAGAAGAUAUAGCGGUACAUUUAAUUAGUGCGCGAUUAGUGUAAUUGUGUUUAAAUGAGAACAAUAAUGUAGGAUUCAUGCAUGCAUGCAUGCAUGUAAAAAUAGAAGAAGAGGGAUAACAAAAAAAAAAGAAAAAAAAAAAAGAACACUACAGAAGAGACGAAAAAAAAGGAGAAGAGAGAAAACAAGAAACAAAAGGCAAAACAAAAAAAGAGAACCAAAAAAAGAGAGUAUUCUUAUGGGUUCGUGAGUUGGAGUUCGAGUUUCGAUUCCUGUUUUAGUCUCCGGUAAUGACAUUCUACUCCUGCUUUUAAUUAAUUUGUUACACAGGCAUGUCUAUUGUCGAGGCUUGACUUUGUUGUAUCAAGAAUGUUUAAUUGUUAAUUCAAUUUCGAAAAUAUAUUAGGUUGGCUCUAUUCGAUGUUCAUUCCUCGAACUUUUUAUUUCAUUGUGAUAAUAUCUCCAUUUCGUUCAUCUUUGUGUGAAUAUGUUAAUUAAUAUGUAUUUUUUACAUUUAAAAUUCAUGUUGGUAGAUACUUUUCAUAUUUAACUUACUGCACUCAAAAUGGUGAGAAAAGCUAAUGACAAAAGAUUUAUGUAAAUUGGUUAAAAAUUUUAUCUUUAGUUAUUUAUUAUUAAUUAAUUAAUUUAUGAGAUUAUUAAUUGAAAUUUACUUUAUUAAGUCUUUGACGUAAAAGAAGCAACUCUCAAAUCUUCUCCUGUAACAUAAUAACCGUGUUAAAUGAAGACAUUUACGUUUUAACUAGUGAUUCAAUAUUUUUUUUUCUUUCUUUUCUUAGUUUACAUUUGGAUCAGAUCCAUGGUAGGUUUAACAUUUUUUUAUAUUUCAUCGAAUAUGUUAGUUAAUGAAGAGUCAAUUCAUUUUUGUUUCCUUUUCGUUCUUGACCCUCAUUUACUGUAAUAGAUUCAAG
rnacentral:lncRNA from 1 species